UACAGAGGCCUCAAGCGUUGUUCGGAUUCAUUGGGCGUAAAGGGUGCGUAGGUGGCGCCGUAAGUCGGGUGUGAAAUUUCGGAGCUUAACUCCGAAACUGCAUUCGAUACUGCGGUGCUUGAGGACUGGAGAGGAGACUGGAAUUCAUGGUGUAGCAGUGAAAUGCGUAGAGAUCAUGAGGAAGACCAGUGGCGAAGGCGGGUCUCUGGACAGUUCCUGACACUGAGGCACGAAGGCCAGGGGAGCAAAACGGG
rnacentral:rRNA from 1 species